GUUUAACUUCAUAGAAACCAGGUAUAUCCUGAAUCGUACAUGUAUCAGCUUUCUACAUGCCAAUUUUCAACAGAUGUUUAAAAUCAUAUAAAAAAGAAAAGGUCUUCCGAAUAGAGGUACCACUAAAAGUAACCCCUGUUUUUUUGGAAAUCUUAAAUUAGUAUACUAUGGAGUGCAUUAAUCCUCAAUUUUGAAUGCAAACUCAUAAACAAGUAAAUUUUAGCUCAAAAUGGUCUUAAUAUAUUUCUCUUUCACCAAAAGUUUCAUUUCUGCCAAUUUGUUGGUUAGUUUAAGUAAACAAGGACAUGAAACGCACUAUUUUUUGUCCGAUUAGGCAUACUUUCACAUACGUUCUAAAUUUGAGGGAGUAAUUGGUGGUAUGACACCUUAAAUCAAACCGGAGAGAAAGAGAGAGAACGAUAUAUAAUUAUACACGUAUCAGUAUUGGAGUACUUUAUAAACUACAUGCGUCCGGAGCGAUUUACUCGUCUUAUCUUCAUCAGGAACGCUGUUACCCUCGAGCAGCAUUAUUAAACAGUAUUCAUUGAUCAUUUGCUGCUGUACAAUAAGUACCAUUUAUGUUUUUUGUAGAAGG
rnacentral:lncRNA from 1 species